rnacentral:rRNA from 1 species
GAUGAACGCUGGCGGCGUGCCUAAUACAUGCAAGUCGAGCGAACAGACGAGGAGCUUGCUCCUCUGACGUUAGCGGCGGACGGGUGAGUAACACGUGGAUAACCUACCUAUAAGACUGGGAUAACUUCGGGAAACCGGGGCUAAUACCGGAUAAUAUAUUGAACCGCAUGGUUCAAUAGUGAAAGACGGUUUUGCUGUCACUUAUAGAUGGAUCCGCGCCGCAUUAGCUAGUUGGUAAGGUAACGGCUUACCAAGGCAACGAUGCGUAGCCGACCUGAGAGGGUGAUCGGCCACACUGGAACUGAGACACGGUCCAGACUCCUACGGGAGGCAGCAGUAGGGAAUCUUCCGCAAUGGGCGAAAGACUGACGGAGCAACGCCGCGUGAGUGAUGAAGGUCUUCGGAUCGUAAAACUCUGUUAUUAGGGAAGAACAAAUGUGUAAGUAACUAUGCACGUCUUGACGGUACCUAAUCAGAAAGCCACGGCUAACUACGUG